rnacentral:tRNA from 1 species
GCCUGGGUGGCUUAGUUGGCAAAGCAUCUGACUCUUGAUUUCAGCUCAGGUCAUGAUCUCAGGGUUGUGAGAUCAAGCCCCACAUCAGGCU